GGUCAUCCCUCUGCCAUCGCAACAGGAAAGGACAGGGAAGUGCAGCCGGACCAAAUCUGACUGGGGAACUUGUCUGUUGGGAAAGCCAUUGGCAGGAUGGUGAGAAUGUGAAGGACGGACCCAAAUGGACCUGACCCAGCUGCCUCAAAAAUAUUUUCACUUCCACAGUUUGAAAACCGUUGAAUUCAAGAUGCAACAAUUCAAAGGAUUUUGCUGUUUCUGGAAGGCAGCAUCCCUGGAAAUCAGUUCCACAGGUGUCCAAGACCACCCAGCAGGCAGGAAGAAAGAGUAACAUACAGCAAGGAUCAGCAUUGCCAACGCAGUGUCCAUGGGUUUUUUUGGAGGAGGAUGGAGGUGGGGGGUGGAGCCUUGUAUUCACAUCAGCCCAUCCGUGGCAUGUGACCAGGAGAGAGAGCUCUGCACAUAUC